rnacentral:rRNA from 1 species
AUUGAACGCUGGCGGCGUGCUUAACACAUGCAAGUCGAACGGUAACGCGGGGGCAACCCUGGCGACGAGAGGCGGACGGGUGAGGAACGCUUGGUAAUCCGCCUAUCAGCGUGGGACAACACGGGGAAACUCGUGCUAAUACCGCAUACGCUCUACGAAGAAAAGCCGGGGACCGCCAGGCCUGGCACUGAGAGCUGAGCCCAAGGCGGAUUAGCUAGUUGGCGGGGUAACGGCCCACCAAGGCGACGAUCCGUAGCUGGUCUGAGAGGACGAUCAGCCACACUGGAACUGAGACACGGUCCAGACUCCUACGGGAGGCAGCAGUGGGGAAUAUUGGACAAUGGGGGAAACCCUGAUCCAGCGACGCCGCGUGGGUGAAGAAGGCCUGCGGGUUGUAAAGCCCUUUCGGUAGGGACGAAAGCUCUCGACCUAACACGUCGGGGGGUUGACUUAACCUACAGAAGAAGCACCGGCUAACUCUGUGCCAGCAGCCGCCGUAAGAC